CACAACAUUUUGAGGCCAACUUAACACCCUCUUCUCAUUUUUGGUUUCUUCUUUGUAGAAGACAAGAGUAAGUUUUGAGAAAAUGGCAUCAAUUAAGGCUGAGAAACCUGUAGGUUCUCAACUGUUUGGGCAGACCAAGAAAGAGCCUUCUAAAUCUGGUGAGCAGAGUGGUGAACCCAAACCCCCGGCCUCCAAGCAGGCCCCCAAGAAAGCCGAGCAGAAGCCUCGGGAGCCAAAGAAGAAGGUACUUCGCCAAAGGUGGCAAACCAGGAGCAAAGCACUAACGAGGAACGGUAACAGAUCAUACCACCACAAAGGAUU